ACCGAAAUAGCUCAGUUGGGAGAGCGUUAGACUAUAGAUCGAAAAGUCCCCGGUUCGAUCCCGGACUCCGGCA
rnacentral:tRNA from 1 species